UACAGAGGUCCCAAGCGUUGUUCGGAUUCACUGGGCGUAAAGGGUGCGUAGGUAAUGAGGUAAGUCGGAUGUGAAAUCUCCAAGCUCAACUUGGAAACUGCAUUGGAAACUACCUUGCUAGAGGAUUUGAGGGGGGAUUGGAAUACUUGGUGUAGCAGUGAAAUGCGUAGAUAUCAAGUGGAACACCAGUGGCGAAGGCGAAUCCCUGGAAAAUACCUGACACUGAGGCACGAAAGCUAGGGGAGCAAACAGG
rnacentral:rRNA from 1 species